rnacentral:rRNA from 1 species
CCUUGGGAGGGGCCUGGCUUCCGAUUUAGGGGGUUGGUGGGGGGAAAAUCGCUUACAAGCCUGCGAUCGGUAGCUGUCUUAGAAGUACGAUCAGUCACACUGGGACUGAGACACGCCCCAGACUCAUACGGGAGGCAGCAGUGGGGAAUAUUGUACAAUGGGCGCGAGCCUGAUCCAGCAAUGCCGCGUGGGUGAAGAAGGUCUUCGGAUUGUAAAGCCCUUUCGGCGGUGACGAUGAUGACGGUACCCGCAGAAGAAGCCCCGGCUAACUUCGUGCCAGCAGCCGCGGUAAUACGAAGGGGGCUAGCGUUGCUCGGAAUUACUGGGCGUAAAGGGCGCGUAGGCGGCCUUGUAAGUCGGGCGUGAAAUUCCUGGGCUUAACCUGGGGGCUGCGCUUGAGACUGCGGGGCUUGAGGGCGGAAGAGGCUCGUGGAAUUCCCAGUGUAGAGGUGAAAUUCGUAGAUAUUGGGAAGAACACCGGUGGCGAAGGCGGCGAGCUGGUCCGUAUCUGACGCUGAGGCGCGACAGCGUGGGGAGCAAACAGGAUUAGAUACCCUGGUAGUCCACGCCGUAAACGAUGUGCGCUGGAUGUUGGGGCCCUUAGGGCUUCAGUGUCGUAGCCAACGCGAUAAGCGCACCGCCUGGGGAGUACGGCCGCAAGGUUGCUGUCG